CAUCAUAAUAGAACGUACCAAUCUCGAAGAAACCAGGAAAACUAAGUGAGAGGACAAGGCAGGAGGCUUGCACCUCUACCACUGAGAAAACCUCCUUUAUGGGAUUAUCCAUUACAAGUAAGACUAAUUUGCCAUUCAUUUCUAUCUUUAUGAAUAAUAUUAUUGUUAAUGCUCGCAUAGAUACUGGAGCCGAUGACACCGCCAUUAGUGAAACUUUAUGGAGAAAAAUUACUAAGAAAAAUCCGAAAAUUCGCCUCCACCCAGGACCGAAAGUACAAUUGGCCGUACAAGGAGAGGAAUAUCGAACAUUGGGAUAUUUCUCAGCCACGAUAAAGGUGAAUAAUGUCACCCUUAAACAAAAUU
rnacentral:lncRNA from 1 species